AUUUCACAGUUACAAAGUAAAAUAUUUUGAAAAAUGUUGAACUGCAACAUUACCUGCAAUCAUAAUGUUCUCAAAAUAAUUUGUGCUUGUUGCUGCUACUGUUAUUGAUGCAUACUGUAUUUGUCUUUACAUAUCUAAUCCCAUAACGACCUGCAACCACCUCCUCCUGCUUAAAGUUUUCAUCCAGCUGGGGGCCAUGGAUUUCAUGAAAACCGUAACAGAAUCUGGCACCUCUCACCAUGUCAUUUUCGUCAAACCAAAACUUGGACCAAUUCUCAAUACAAAUCGUUCAUCGUGUUUCAGUAAUGGUACAUUUGCAAGACCUAUAUCAGAAGAACUGCUGAAGGACAUUAUGAAAUGCAGAGCAAAGGAACACAGCAACAUACACUUGGAUAUAUAUAUAUAUAUAUAUAUA
ensembl:lncRNA